GAAGAGCCGUACUGGCGGUGAUUGGACAUGAAUCCUUCAGACGAUUUACAACAUUGGAAAUCAGGUCUAUUUACUGGCGUGUAUACAUUUGUUUUCGUCCUGCAUGCCAAAUGAAAAAGAGGACGAAAACAGAAUAACGUAGGAGUCAUCUAGGGUUCAGUGCGAGCUGCUCAAAUCCAAUCCCGUCGGGGUGGAGAUGGAUUCCAUGACCUUCCUUUUGGCUUCGUCAUUGUCACCAUCUGCUUCUCCUCGACACCCGAGAGAUUUCCGAGGCGUUUGUCUAAGCCUCAUCGGGUCAAACUAUGGCAGGACCCUCCCAGCACAGCAAUGACCAACACCAUGCAGACGGAGUCAACUCGUUUCAGCGGCGUAACUAGACAAAUUGUUGGCUUCCUCCUAGACGCCCCCGCCGACAGCCCUGACACGAGGCAUGUCACUACUGCAGGUGCAGUUGGGCCUGAAAUUGCUUUGUUUAAACUUGUCAGCCUGGAAUGGAGAGGACCUUGUCUUUUUAAAAAAAAAAAAUGUAUUUGGUUUUGUUUUGGAGCACUUAUUUAAAGAGUUAAGACACUUGAUGAAUGCAAAAAUAUGUUUUGAUCAUUAGGACAUUUUUUAAAUGGUUUUUUUGUUAUCCUACGUGUUAUAGACAAGCAAAUCAAACUAAAACUGUUGUUUCAAAUUAUGCUGUAAAAAUA